UGCCAAGACAGAAACCCAAGAAAGAGGUUUGGAGUUGAGCUGAGUUCUUGGGAACCAAGAGGUUAAGGUCUCAGAGGGAUCCCAACAAGCUGAAAGUCAAGGUUCUGCUAAGGUCAGGAAGCUGACAAGUGACUGGUCUACAGAACGGGACUGGAAAUCUCAAAAGAGGCGGCUUCCUUACAAGAUUCCAAUUCUGACCCAAGAGACACAGACUUUCUCAGGACUCCAGACUGGUUAGUGGCUGCUUUUGUUCCAGUCUGGAAACAAGAAAGGAAAGAAAACUGUCACAAGGAGAAACAACCACUUCUUUCAAGAUACUUUCCAAAUUCUUAUUUCUGGGAGUGGUCAUCUGCAUCUACAUCCAACCAGAAUGGAACCUUAAACCUGGAAGAGGAUUAUCUAACCCAAAUACAUGGGGCCAGAUCCUCAUUGGCUGUUCCAUUUGUGGAGCGAAGAGAAGGGACAGCUGUCACAUUAUGGGAGUUGGGGAUUCCCCUUGUGUAGCAAAAUCCUGAGGUGGCACAAAAAGCCAGUGUAACCAGCUUUAUCCCACUUCUUUGAGAAUUUGAAAGUAGAAGGCAGCUUGGGUGAAAGUGAUUAUGAAAUGAUGAGUUCAUGAUUCUAAGCUAAAAGGAAUGGCAGGAGAUAAUGGAGUUCGAGAAGGCAGACUUUAGCAAACUCAGGGAGUUGGUAGGUAAAAUCCCAUGGGAAGCAAGUCUAAGAGGAAAACAGUUCAAGAGAGUUGGCAGUUUUUCAGAGACAUUGCUAAAGGCACAGGAGCAAACUAUCUCACUGCUUAGGAAAGACAGGAAGCAUGGCAAGAGACCACACUGGCUUAACCAGGAGAUAUUCAAUGAUCUGAAACUCAA